UGGCGGUGGGCUGGGCAGGUGCACGCAAUCUUCUCCCGUGAUAUUGGCGCCAGGCGUUGAUUCUAGGCCUAGGAGCGCCAUGUUUCAUAUCACGUAGGCGACGCAAGACUCCCGCAGAGGCAGUGAAGGCUUCAGUGAGUGCCGGGGAGUGCCAGGCCGCGCCGUACACCCACUAGAAGGCGGUGCAGUGACGGCCGAAGAGUGCCAAGAGACGUGUGACAAGUGUAUAUUUUUGACUGUAAUUCCUCCCCCGGCGGUGCCACGUGAGGGCCGAGGCACCAGGGAGGACGCGGCACCCUUCCUACAUCAAUCUACCCCCCCCAGGAGGCGCGUAACCCCCGUGGGAGACAACUACGGGGUAAUACGUGUGGGAGUGUGCAGUGGUGGUGGUUGUGUAACGGGGGACUUCAGCAAAAAAGAUCAUUAUUUUCCCCCGUGACGUGUCCCCCAGGGGUGCCACGUGUGACCUCAGGGGUUUGGCAGGACGCGGCAUUCCCUCCACACCCAGUCACCCCCCCAGGAGAGCCCAGACCCCCGUGGUGCAGUGUGGGGGCGAGCAGUGAGGCCCCGAGGUGGUGUGAUUGUGUAACGGGGGACGGAGGGAAACCAGGUCAUAUUUUUCGCCUUUUGGGGGCGUUGUGAUGCCCCAGGGAUGACCUCUUGCUCCCCGACGGGUCCUGGGGGCACAGCCAGACCCGCCUCGCCCCCCAGCACGCCCCCAGUGGCUGCCGCAGUGCCCCUACCUCCUCAAGUUUAGGACAUCCCCCAGGGCACCCGUGUGGCAUCCCCCUGGGCACUGCUCUGCUCACUUCGCUCACUCGGCUCACCUGUGUGUCUCUUGUCUCACUUGACUCAUCUCACUCACCCAGGGGGAAACUUAAAGAAAUAUGUCUCAUGAGGUCCUUGCUCCAUCUCCUGGCAAAUCAGUGAUGGACGAUGAUGGGGACGAAAAGGAUGACGUUAAGAGAAAGUCUCGGAACCUCUCGGAGAAGAAGACCCGGGAAGCUAGUCUCCUCUCUUUCCUCUCGUUCCACUCUUCUUCCCUCUUCCACCUUUCCUCUUCCACCCUGUCUCUCUUCCACCUCCAGAGUCUCAAAACCUCUCGGAGAAGAAGAGAAAAGGGAAGCUUGUCUUGUCAACCACCUUUCCUUCUUUCUCCACCCUCUCCACCUGUCCUGAUCCACCUUGCCCCUCUUCCACCUUCAUCCACUCACUCCUCCACUUUCCUCCAUCCUCAGAGAGUCUCGGAACCUCUCGGAGAAAAAGAGAAAAGGGAAAUUAGUCUUGUGAACCACAUUUCCUUCUUUGUUCAUCCUCUCCACCUGCCCUUUUCCAACUUGCCCCUCUUCCACCUUCACACACUCACUCCUCCACCUUCCUCCAC